rnacentral:rRNA from 1 species
UACGAAGGGGGCUAGCGUUGCUCGGAAUCACUGGGCGUAAAGGGUGCGUAGGCGGGUCUUUUAAGUCAGGGGUGAAAUCCUGGAGCUCAACUCCAGAACUGCCUUUGAUACUGAGGAUCUUGAGUUCGGGAGAGGUGAGUGGAACUGCGAGUGUAGAGGUGAAAUUCGUAGAUAUUCGGAAGAACACCAGUGGCGAAGGCGGCUCA